rnacentral:rRNA from 1 species
CGAAGGGGGCUAGCGUUGCUCGGAAUCACUGGGCGUAAAGCGCACGUAGGCGGCUUUUUAAGUCAGGGGUGAAAUCCUGGAGCUCAACUCCAGAACUGCCUUUGAUACUGGAAAGCUUGAGUCCGGGAGAGGUGAGUGGAACUCCGAGUGUAGAGGUGAAAUUCGUAGAUAUUCGGAAGAACACCAGUGGCGAAGGCGGCUCACUGGCCCGGUACUGACGCUGAGGUGCGAAAGCGUGGGGAGCAAACAGGAUUAGAUGCCCUGGUAGUCCACGCUGUAAACGAUGGAUGCUAGCCGUUGGCGGGUUUACCCGUCAGUGGCGCAGCUAACGCAUUAAGCAUCCCGCCUGGGGAGUACGGUCGCAAGAUUA